GAUGAACGCUGGCGGCGUGCCUAAUACAUGCAAGUCGAGCGAAUGGAUUAAGAGCUUGCUCUUAUGAAGUUAGCGGCGGACGGGUGAGUAACACGUGGGUAACCUGCCCAUAAGACUGGGAUAACUCCGGGAAACCGGGGCUAAUACCGGAUAACAUUUUGAACCGCAUGGUUCGAAAUUGAAAGGCGGCUUCGGCUGUCACUUAUGGAUGGACCCGCGUCGCAUUAGCUAGUUGGUGAGGUAACGGCUCACCAAGGCAACGAUGCGUAGCCGACCUGAGAGGGGGAUCGGCCACACUGGGACUGAGACACGGCCUAGACUCCUACGGGAGGCAGCAGUAGGGAAUCUUCCGCAAUGGACGAAAGUCUGACGGAGCAACGCCGCGUGAGUGAUGAAGGCUUUCGGGUCGUAAAACUCUGUUGUAGGGAAGAACAAGUGCUAGUUGAAUAAGCUGGCACCUUGACGGUACCUAACCAGAAAGCCACGGCUAACUACGUGCCAGCAGCCGCGGUAA
rnacentral:rRNA from 1 species